GGGUAGCGCGGGAAGAGAGAAAACGCUAGAUGAGUUUGUUGUUGAUGUGCAAUCUAGGAAUGGAUGAAAAAUCUCUGUGAGUCUUUGUAACGUGGAGCAAAAUGUUACAGACUAUCAAAUGACGAAAGUGAUUAAACCAAACUAAUACUCAAGGUGCAGGGUACGUCUAGAGAUGGGAUCUGUCUUACAGUAUACAUAGGCUUAAUUAAUAUCACGAGGCUUAACCUUAGCUCCAUCCAUGCACAUGCUAGUUAGCUGUUUGCAAAAUGGACCUCGUGCUUCGUUUGCCUGACAUCGAAUUGGCAUCUGUCCGUGAAGACGACAGUAAAGAGACGGAGAGAGAAACACAUGGACGUAUUAGACCUGGAUACAUACCUGAAUACAGUUGAUUCACUACGUGGCUGUUUGCUGAGUAACUUAUUUUCAUACCAGGGACUCUGGCUCCCAAGACAUGUAGACUGGUUGCUGUACUUACUCUGUGUAAAGCAGCCCAUCCCUCUACAACAGCAGACAGUUGUGACGGUGAACUGAGGAAAUGACAGGAGACUGAUUAAUUGUGACUGCGGCAUGUUAAGGCCGGGGUUGCCAACCCUGCCCCAGUAAUGAUGAGCCAGUUCAUACAGGCAGCUGCAGCAGAAGGAUGUGGUCUGUCCUGCUCGCCACUCUUAACCAGCACUGCUUCAGAUUUCAUUGAGCAACUCAUUCAUAACAACACCUGUCCCAACUGUUCUGUUGGAUACUUUUCUGUUUACUGUUACCGUUUCAGUCUACAAACAUUUCAUACUGGUGGGAAUGAUACUAGAAAGAAACAUACAGCAUUACAAAACUACAACAGUGUUUUAAUGAUUUCAGGGGGCUCUCAGUUUUUUUUUAUUUUUGGCCAGUUUUCCUGCAGUUAAGUUUUUGACAUCAGCAUUACUCGUAUAACCUAUAAAUUCUGUUUAAUACAAUCUUUUGCAUCUUUUUAAUCACUUACAAUUGAGAGUAACAUCUCCAAUGCUGAUUAUUUCGGUCAGGCCCUUAAAUGCAUAUAUCAGGACAAAGGGUAUGAAUAUUAGGAUAAAAAUACUAAAGUAUUUAAUGCAUGUAUGAUAUAGAUACAGUAGAUAAUUUUUUUCAGAUGGUCAAACAUUUCAUGCGUUUUGUGUGUAAGACAAUGGGAUUCUGACCAUAUUUUUAUUUAUUUAGCUCUUCAAGUUUGUGUAUAUAUACAAUAACACUGUAUAUCAAAUUCAAAAUGUUAUGUGCAUUAACAGUUCCAAUAACAGACAGUUUUAAAUGGAAUUCAAAAAGUUAAGGUUUCUUUCCUCUGUGUGAUGACUUCUAAAGCAAAAAAACAGUGUAAACUCUCCCUGAAGGAAAUAGGCCAAGUUAUGCACAUUAUGCAGAACUUGAGCUGUUGUCAAU